GUCGGCAUUGUUCCAGUGUCUUUCCCUCCUGCUGCUUCUGCUGCUCCUCACACAACAUAAUCACUUUCAGAGCUGCACCUUUCUUCACCAACUCAAAUGCUUCUGCGGCCUGUUCCAGAGGAAGAUGAUGAGUUUCAAACCACUGGAGAUCAUGUGAUGAACAUAUGCAUCCUGUGCUCUGGGGACUACCAGGAUAAUGAUCCAUCAGAAUUCAGAAAUGGAAACUCCCUUACACGGACUCUUUCCACUUCUUGCUGCCUCGGUAAAGCAGCCAGUAUAAUCAAAAGACCCCCACUCCAGACAUUCCUUCUUUUCCCCUCUCCCCUCUUCCAUCAGGGAGAAAAUACAAAAGCCUGAAAGCACAUACCACCAGGCUUCAGGACAGCUUCUACCCUACUAUUUAAGACUAUUCAAUGGUUCCUUAUUACAACUUCUGCCCUACAAAUCUUGGUGCUGUUAGUGUCAAGCAUGGUGAAAGGUUUCACCAGGACAUUGCAGUCAUGGAGAACAGAUACCAGGGCAGCUGGAAUCCAUCAAUGCUUGCGAAUUAUUUUUGGACACUUAAGCGAGAAGCCUCAGACACUGAGUACAAACGAAAAUCAUUAAUGUUAACAAAAUAUUUUUAACUUAGUUGAUCUAUUGCAAAGCAUCAGCACCAUUAUGCAAUUAAACACAUUG